rnacentral:tRNA from 1 species
GUCAUUGUCGCCCAGCCAGUAGGGUGGCUAUGACCCUCGGCUUGUAACCGAGGGGGGUUCGGGUUCGAAUCCCGAGUAAGACA